rnacentral:rRNA from 1 species
AUGGCAUUUCUUGAAGACACUUUUAACAAGGAACAUGAAGGUAUAGAUGUAGAAAGAAGUUUUGGGUCUAUCCUCACAAAUAACCUGCAACAAUUAUUUAGAGUUGUUGUUUUUAGCAAGCACUAUAUCAUUGGUCCAACUUUUCAAAUUUUCUUUUGCAUCUGUAUCAACCACCAAAGAACAAUCCGAAAAGGUAACAUGAAUGCACACUACCAGGCAAUAAAUCAUGAAUUGCACAGAAAAAUAAAUGAGGGAACAGCUUUUGUGCAUGCAUUCAUCAGUGGAGCAAAGAAUGUCCAUUGCUCCAUAGUUAUCCGCAGAACCUAA